CCUACGGGUGGCAGCAGUGGGGAAUAUUGCACAAUGGGGGAAACCCUGAUGCAGCGACGCCGCGUGAGUGAAGAAGUUUUUCGGUAUGUAAAGCUCUAUCAGCAGGGAAGAAGAAGGACGGUACCUGACUAAGAAGCUCCGGCUAACUACGUGCCAGCAGCCGCGGUAAUACGUAGGGGGCAAGCGUUAUCCGGAUUUACUGGGUGUAAAGGGAGCGUAGACGGCAGUACAAGUCAGAUGUGAAAACUAUGGGCUCAACCCAUAGCCUGCAUUUGAAACUGUAUUUCUUGAGUGCAGGAGAGGAAAGUGGAAUUCCGUGUGUAGCGGUGAAAUGCGUAGAUAUAAGGAGGAACACCAGUGGCGAAGGCGGAUUGCUGGACAGUAACUGACGCUGAGGCGCGAAAGUGUGGGGAGCAAACAGGAUUAGAUACCCGUGUAGUC
rnacentral:rRNA from 1 species